rnacentral:rRNA from 1 species
ACUAAUCGUAGCUCAGGCAAUCUAAACAAAACUAACACACUUAAUUAAAACAAAACAUUUAUCUAUAUUAAAGUAUAGGAGAUAGAAAUUCUACCCGACGCUAUAGAAAUAGUACCGUAAGGGAAACAGAUAAAAAGUAAAAAAAAGCAAAGAUUACCCCUUCUACCUUUCGCAUAAUGAUUUAACUAGAACAAGCUUAACAAAAAGCCUUAAAGCUAAGCACCCCGAAACCAGACGAGCUAUCUUAAGACAGCUUCAAAGAGCACACUCAUCUAUGUAGCAAAAUAGUGAGAAGAUCUUAAGAUAGAGGCGAAAAACCAACCGAGCCUGGUGAUAGCUGGUUGUUCAGAAAAUGAAUUUUAGUUCAAAUUUAAACUUACCAAAAAAACUACAAUUUCCAUGUAAGCUUAAAUUAUAAUCCAAAGAGGUACAGCUCUUUGGAUCAAGGUUACAACCUUCCUUAGAGAGUUAAUACAUUACUUACCAUAGUAGGCCUAAAAGCAGCCACCAAUUAAGAAAGCGUUCAAGCUCAACAAACAACUUAACUUAAUACCAUAAACUCUAACUAACUCCUAAUCUAAUACUGAACCACUCUAUAUUUAAUAGAGGCAAUACUGUUAAUAUGAGUAACAAGAAAAAUUUUCUCCCCGCACAAACCUAUAUCAGAACGAAUACAUCACUGAUAAUUAACAGAACUUUAAGCAAACCCCAAAACUAAACCCCUUAUAGCCUACUCUGUUAACCCAACACAGGUGUGCAACCAGGGAAAGAUUAAAAGGGAUAAAAGGAACUCGGCAAACAUAAAUUCCGCCUGUUUACCAAAAACAUCACCUUUAGCAUUACUAGUAUUAAAGGCACUGCCUGCCCAGUGACAUCAGUUCAACGGCCGCGGUAUCCUGACCGUGCAAAGGUAGCAUAAUCACUUGUUCUCUAAUUAAGGACUUGUAUGAAUGGCCACACGAGAAUUUAACUGUCUCUUAUCCCCAAUCAGUGAAAUUGACCUUCCCGUGCAGAGGCGGGAAUAAAAAAAUAAGACGAGAAGACCCUAUGGAGCUUUAAUUAAUUAGCCCAAAAGAGCACCUAUCAAUCAACAAGAGAUAACACACUCUAGCCUGGGCUGAUAAUUUAGGUUGGGGUGACCUCGGAGUACAAAAAAACCUCCGAGUGAUAUACGCUUAGACCCACUAGUCAAAGCAAUAACAUCACUUAUUGAUCCAAUUACUUGAUCAACGGAACAAGUUACCCUAGGGAUAACAGCGCAAUCCUAUUCAAGAGUCCCUAUCGACAAUAGGGUUUACGACCUCGAUGUUGGAUCAGGACAUCCUGGUGGUGCAGCCGCUACCAAGGGUUCGUUUGUUCAACGAUUAAUAGUCCUACGUGAUCUGAGUUCAGACCGGAGUAAUCCAGGUCGGUUUCUAUCUAUUCCACGGUCCUCCUAGUACGAAAGGACAAGAGGAACGAGGCCUACUUCACCAUGCGCCUCCAAUCAACAAAUGCUACAAUCUUAAUUUGCUAGUAAGGAC